UCCUGGAGUCAAGGCUAUUGAGUGGGAGGACUCUUCAGGAGUUCAUUUUCUCCUUGAUAGCGGACAGACCUCAGCAAAGAUGAGCAGAGCUCUGAUCCUCUGUGUUUUCCUCUUGGUUUUCUGGCAAGAUACCAAGCCUCACCCUAUCAACCUGAUCGAAGGCCCAGCCAAUAAAUUUUCCUCAAGCAUUAAAAAUGAGGAUGAAGGUUUGGCUAAACUAUUUGAUGAAAUCCUACUGCAAGUGUUGUCCAAAGGCCCGUACGAUGCACCGUUUGAGGAUGCAAGAACGGCAGACAAAUUACUUGCCCUGAAAGACAUGGAAGAAGGUUUUCCCCAACCGAAGAACUUGACCAAUUCGGAAUUUGUAUCAAGUUCUGAUCUGGAAGAAGAAAAUUUGGCCAAAUUAUUUGAUGAAAUUCUGCUGCAAGUGUUGUCCAAAACUCCGUAUGAUGUACCGUUUGAGGAGGCGAGAACAACUGGCAAAUCAAUGACAAAGAGAGAAGUAAAUGAAGGAGUUAGCAACGCUUGGAAUUCUGAGCCGGACUAUUUCCUCGGCACCGCGGACAGAAUUGCCGAUAACGAUCACAUUUCAGAAGAGAGAAGGAUUAAAGAACCCUCCCUAUUCCACAGAGAUGUGAAUAACCAAUUAACUACUGUCACUAGCGGAACAGCUGAAGGCGCAGUGAGCCCAGACAGUCGCAACGGGAACAUGCCCUGUGCACAGCUCCUGCACUUCCUGCGAAAGAACAUCAUCAUCACCGCCUUCUCCGUGGCCGCCAUCCUUGCUGUCACGGUCAUGCUGCUGCUCAUGUUGACCUCGUACGUCAGGAGCAGGCAGCCCCUGUGAGUGGCUCCUAGCGCCCGCCCUUCCACCCGGGACUCGUGGGUGCUGGCACUGAAGCUGCCCCACCCUCCCCCGAAGCUUCCUGGAUUGGGGAGGAGGAGAGUGGGGGCUCUCUAGGCCGGGCUGUGUGCGGACAUCACCUGUGGGCUUGGAAGAGGACGCGUGCCCUGGAUCCUGGGCCCUGUCUGCCUGACUGAUGCACACCAGUCUUCCUGGACUGGGCUGUGCCCAUCCGGCUACUGAAAGAGGAGACUGUGUCAUGUCUGGCAUGAAGAUGGAAAAAUAGCCAAUGCACAGAGAAAGGAAAGGAAGUACACAGCUCCGAGAGGUGGGGUGGGGAGGGAUGUGAGCAAGCUGGUGUGCACCUAGGGCCCGUGGUGGAGCUGCUCUGGUCGUUAGAAUAUUGCAGAAGGCUCCACGGGUCCCUCUACAGCCACUUCAAGAACCUCCCCCCACCCACCCACCCCUGAUCCUGCACGUGAAGGGUUAAUGCCUGGUACAGCAGUGGCCUUGAGAGGCCAGGCUCUACCAGUGGGCCCUUGGGCUGGCAGAGCCUAUGUGCACCAUUGUUCAGUGUUUUGAUGAAACCACUGGGUGACAGGGCUCAAGCAUGGAACACUGGAAGCAACUAGUGUGCAAGACUGGGCACUCACUGUGUAAGUGAGUCACUGCGUUUGGAAAUUCUAUGCUGUGGGCUGCGCGGCUGGGGACGUGGUCACAGAGGGCAGAGCAGCUCCCCCACAGGCCCCUCACUGUGUCGGGGGCUCAGCGUGUCCCCCGAGAGAGGGGACUGGGGCUGUGUGACGACGCUGAAGUGGCUGCUUCUGAGGCUGCGGUAUUUCCAUUUCCCCACAAGAAGGGCGUUGCUUUCUCUAGAUGCCAGGAGUGCUCCAGGGGUCCUGCGACUGGUGACUCCUUGAAGGGGUUAGACAUGACUUGUUUCAGAGCGCCUGAAAGUAAGCGUGGCCCUGUUUCACAAUUCUGAAUAUGGCUCAUCUUUCCGACGGGCCAUUUCCCCUCCACGCCCCUUGUACCCGUCCAGCUCACGGAGACAUAGCUGUACAUGGCCUGGGUUAGUCGUGGACAAGUGUUUUCCAGAAAGGGAUAUUGCAGAGGCUCUGUGGGGGCCAGAGGUGGCAGGGAUUUUUUAAUUUAAUUUAAUUUAAUUUUUUUAUUUUUUUUGACAGGCAGAGUGGACAGUGAGAGAGAGAGACAGAGAGAAAGGUCUUCCUUUGCCGUUGGUUCACCCUCCAAUGGCCGCCGCAGCUGGCGCACCGCGCUGAUCUGAUGGCAGGAGCCAGAUACCCGCCGGCAAACAUGACCUAUAACAUUUUCAUCAUGAAUGGCAAGACUUGGUGGCAGAAGUCUCCAGAUAAGAAUCUCAGGAAGUUUUCUGGGAAGCAGAAGCUUCUGAAAAGCAAUUCUUGUGUCUAAGGCAGGUGGUGG